AAACAAACACAAAAUGAAAAAAAAAAAAUGGUGUUUGAAGAAACAAAACAGGUAGCGUUUAACGAACUGAAAAAUCGGCUGCGAAUUGGAAAAGAAAGUGACUUGCAUGUGAUCCAGUGAUUUUUUUUUUUUUUUUUUUUUUUUUUUUU
rnacentral:ribozyme from 1 species